rnacentral:rRNA from 1 species
AGGACGAACGCUGGCGGCGUGCUUAACACAUGCAAGUGGAGCGACGAACCAGGGCUUGCCCUGGGGCAGAGCCGCGAACGGGUGAGUAACACGUGGGUUACCUGCCUCGAUGACCGGGACAACCCGAGGAAACUCGGGCUAAUACCGGAUGUGCCCGCAAGGGGAAAGGAAGCUUCGGCCUCCGCAUCGAGAUGGGCCCGCGGCCCAUUAGCUUGUUGGUGAGGUAACGGCUCACCAAGGCUUCGAUGGGUAGCUGGUCUGAGAGGACGAUCAGCCACACUGGGACUGAGACACGGCCCAGACUCCUACGGGAGGCAGCAGUGGGGAAUCUUGCGCAAUGCGCGAAAGCGUGACGCAGCAACGCCGCGUGGGGAAGAAGGCUUUCGGGUUGUAAACCCUUUCAGUUGGGACGAAGCUUCGGCGGUGAAUAGCCGACCGGAGUGACGGUACCUUCACAAGAAGCACCGGCUAACUACGCGCCAGCAGCCGCGGU